CUUGCGUCUCACCACUAUUAGACGCCUCCCAGCAGUCCGUCACGGCGACGUCCAAGCCGCACGACGCCGCCCAGCAGUCCGUCGCCUCCUGCGUGGCAACGUCCAAGCCACACCGUCAGACGACGCCCAAGAGCCCGUCGCCUCCAGCACGGUGACGUCCAAGCCGCACCGUCGCCUCGCUGCACAGCGACCUCGCCGCCCUUACAUCGCACUUGACUCUCCUCCUUCACCCAUCGCUGCGGACUAAAAUUGACAUCCCUGCAACUUCUUCUCAAUAAAUAUUCAAUUUUAUCCCUUCUUGGAGUUUUGAUUUUUUUCUUAUAUUUUUCUUCUGUACAUCGAUUCUAAUCUAUCGCGGUGUUGGGCGGCGAUGGCUGGUUGAUGAUUAUCGUGUGGUUUUCUCGGUGUGUGCAGCAGAAUGGAGUACGAACGCAGGGUGAAUACUUCUCCCGGAGGGGCAGUUCCAGGCCAAGUACGCCAUUGAGGCAUCAAGGCUAAGUUACAAAAUAACGGUGGAAAUUGCUUACUCCUGAAACCAAAGAUGGUGGUGGUGGUUUUGCUGGCGAGGGAUUCAAGUUGAAAAAUAGUGGAGAUGCACGUGUUGUUUAUGGUGUUUCCAUCGUCGGGAAAUCAAAAUUGUUGAAGAUAUGAUGUGCUUGUGAGACCAUAAAAGGUGUGAUAACUGGUAAGGAGCAGUGGGGUGAGCUUAAGGAGUAAAUAGAUGUAAUACAACAGCUACGACCAUGUUUUAUGUAACCUACAUUCUAUCCUUAUCCAUUGGAUUUGGUUAUUAUGGAUGGACAAGAUUGAUUGUGUUAAUCAGGGUGGUGCU